rnacentral:rRNA from 1 species
AGUGAGGAAUAUUGCUCAAUGGGCGAAAGCCUGAAGCAGCAACGCCGCGUGCGCGAUGAAGGUCUUCGGAUCGUAAAGCGCUUUUGAGAGGGACGAGAUAGGACGGUACCUCUUGAAUAAGUCACGGCUAACUACGUGCCAGCAGCCGCGGUAAAACGUAGGUGGCAAGCGUUAUCCGGAUUCACUGGGCGUAAAGCGAGUGCAGGUGGUUGUGUAAGUUGGAUGUGAAAUUUCCCGGCUUAACCGGGAAGGGUCGUUCAAUACUGCGCGACUUGAGGGCAGAAGAGGGGGGUGGAAUUGCCGGUGUAGUGGUGAAAUGCGUAGAUAUCGGCAGGAACACCUGUGGCGAAAGCGGCCCCCUGGUCUGCUCCUGACACUCAGACUCGAAAGCUAGGGUAGCGAACGGGAUUAGAAACCCCGGUAGUCCUAGCCGUAAACGAUGGAUGCUAGGUGUGGGUGGUAUUGACCCCAUCCGUGCCGAAGCUAACGCGUUAAGCAUCCCGCCUGGGGACUACGACCGCAAGGUUAAAACUCAAAGGAAUUGACGGGGACCCGCACAAGCAGCGGAGCGUGUGGUUUAAUUCGAUGCUACACGAAGAACCUUACCCAGGUUUGACAUACAGGUAGUAGUGAAGCGAAAGCAGAACGACUCGCAAGAGAGCCUGCACAGGUGCUGCAUGGCUGUCGUCAGCUCGUGCCGUGAGGUGUUUGGUUAAGUCCACUAACGAGCGCAACCCCUGUCGUCAGUUACAUGUGUCUGACGAGACUGCCGGUCUUAAACCGGAGGAAGGUGGGGAUGACGUCAAGUCAGCAUGGCCUUUAUAUCUGGGGCUACACACACGCUACAAUGGCCGGUACAAUGGGUUGCCAACCCGCGAGGGGGAGCUAAUCCUCUAAAACCGGUCUCAGUUCGGAUUGUAGGCUGCAACCCGCCUGCAUGAAGCCGGAGUUGCUAGUAAACGCGCGUCAGCCAUAGUGCGUUGAAUACGUUCCCGGGUCUUGUACACACCGCCCGUCACGUCAUGGGAGCUGGUAACACCUGAAGCCGGUGCGCUAACCGCAAGGAGGCAGCCGUCGAGGGUGGGAUUGGUGACUGGGACG